AAAGGCCCUUCGGGGUACUCGAGUGGCGAACGGGUGAGUAACACGUGGGUGAUCUGCCUCGUACUUUGGGAUAAGCCUGGGAAACUGGGUCUAAUACCGAAUAUGACCUUGAGAUGCAUGUCUCUUGGUGGAAACUUUUUGGGUACGAGAUGGGCCCGCGGCCUAUCAGCUUGUUGGUGGGGUAAUGGCCUACCAAGGCGACGACGGGUAGCCGGCCUGAGAGGGCGACCGGCCACACUGGGACUGAGACACGGCCCAGACUCCUACGGGAGGCAGCAGUGGGGAAUAUUGCACAAUGGGCGCAAGCCUGAUGCAGCGACGCCGCGUGAGGGAUGACGGCCUUCGGGUUGUAAACCUCUUUCACCAGGGACGAAGAGAAAUUGACGGUACCUGGAGAAGAAGC
rnacentral:rRNA from 1 species